rnacentral:rRNA from 1 species
UACGUAGGGGGCUAGCGUUGUCCGGAAUCAUUGGGCGUAAAGAGCGUGUAGGCGGCCCGGUAAGUCCGCUGUGAAAGUCGGGGGCUCAACCCUCGAAUGCCGGUGGAUACUGUCGGACUAGAGUGCGGAAGAGGCGAGUGGAAUUCCUGGUGUAGCGGUGAAAUGCGCAGAUAUCAGGAGGAACACCGAUUGCGAAGGCAGCUCGCUGGGACGUAACUGACGCUGAGACGCGAAAGCGUGGGGAGCAAACAGG